UACGUAGGGCGCGAGCGUUGUCCGGAAUUAUUGGGCGUAAAGAGCUCGUAGGCGGCCUGUCGCGUCUGCUGUGAAAUCCCGGGGCUUAACCCCGGGCGUGCAGUGGAUACGGGCUGGCUGGAGGCAGGCAGGGGAGAAUGGAAUUCCCGGUGUAGCGGUGAAAUGCGCAGAUAUCGGGAGGAACACCGGUGGCGAAGGCGGUUCUCUGGGCCUGUUCUGACGCUGAGGAGCGAAAGCGUGGGGAGCGAAC
rnacentral:rRNA from 1 species